rnacentral:lncRNA from 1 species
GUUGUAGAAAAAAAUCUCAAUAAAAAUGGAAAACAAGGACAUGGAAAUGAAGCUCGUGUGAUAUAGAUCAUCACUAUACCAUUGGAUUUCCCCCACUCUUCCUAUAUUGAGAGAAAGAUGAAGGAGAAAAUCAUGGUGUCCACACGGAUUGCUCAUGAAAUGGCAAAUUGAAUGCAUCAAAGUCUUGCCUCAAGUAUGAG